rnacentral:rRNA from 1 species
CGGCGUCACGAGUGGCAAUCACAUUUAUUGGGUCUAAAGCGUUCGUAGCCGGUUAGUAAAUCUUUUGUGAAAUUGUCGGGCUUAACUCGACAGCGUGCAGAAGACACUACUAGACUUGAGACCGGGAGGGGUUAGAAGUAUUUCAGGGGGAGCGGUAAAAUGUUAUAAUCCCUGAAGGACUACCAAUGGCGAAGGCAUCUAACCAGAACGGAUCUGACGGUGAGGAACGAAGGCCAGGGGAGCGAACCGGAUUAGAUACCCGAGUAGUCC